GGCUGAGGUAGGAGGAUUGCAAGUUUGAAAUUAGCCUCAGCAACUUAAGGAGGCCUUAAGCAACUUAGUGACACCAUGUCUCAAAAUUAAAUACAUUGGGUUUGUGGCUCAGUGAUAAACAUCUCUGGGUUCAAUCUCCUGUACCAAAACAAUAAAUAAACAAAAAAAAAAUUUUUUUCUUAAGCAUAUGGCAAUGCUAGAUCAAGGGAUAUUUUGUUUUACCAUAUAAUUGCCAAUUGACUUCAAAUUUGCUUGUAAUUUUUAUUCUCACACUCAGUCUCUGAGAACUUGGAAUGAAAUUGCAAAAUAUCUACAUUUGACUCUCUGGAGAUGUUUGUUUGAGUAGAACCAGGCUGGAAAUUCCUUGCCUCUUUGAAGGUGGAGAGUGAGCCUCCUUGUCUGUCCCAGAGGCUUCUAGAUUUUACCAUGUAAGGCUAUGAACUAGGUAGCAAUUAAAAUUGAAUUUUAGACACUUUUUAAGAUGUGGAAGAUGUUCAUAGCACAAUGUGAAGUUUAAAAGAAGCAAGACAAAAAUUUAUUUUAUACCAGAUCCUAAUUUUGUUAAUGUGCAUGUAUUUAGGAAAGGGCAGAAGAAAUAUUAACAGUAAUAACCGUGAUUAUGAGGUUUUUUGUUUUUCCUUUUUUAUUAUUUCAUUUUCUAAGUUUCUUUAGAAACUGAUUUUUGUAAUUAGAGGAAGUGAAGUGUUAAGAUAAACCAUGUUAAACAAAUGAUAAACUUCAAGUCUUUACAAAAUUCCCAAACUCCCAUAUCUAAACGAGUAGAUUCAAAUAAUUACCACCUCUGCUGUUUAGUUUGGAAAUAAUACAUGUUCAGAGGUGGGUCAUUACUAGUUAUUGUUUCAGUCCCUAUUUCUAUUCCUACUCCAGUGGUGAGGGGAAUGAUCAUAUGAGUCUCAAGGAUUCACCUUAAUUCCAUGUCACCUUUCAAGGUUGAGUAUCAAACUGAUAACCAAGAACCCAUUUUAUCAGACUAGCACUGUGAGCUGUAAGAGUGCAAAUCUUUCUAGCAAAAACUAGAAAUUGUCCAUCACUAGAAGACUAACUAAAUAAACAACAAACUACUAUCAGACAUUAAAAAACAUUAUGCACUCAUAAUACUGACAUGCAAAGAUCUACAAGUUAUAAUUUCAAAAGAAAAUCAAAUUUGUAAAACAUAAUUUAAGAGUAUGAAACUGUUUCAAUCAAUAUCUAUCUAUCUACAAACCAUGCACAUAAAUGCACAGAAAAUUUUGGUAAGAUAUUCCUCAAAUGAUGACUAGUUUCUGAGAACAGAAGCAAGAUUUUGACAUGUAUUAAAAGAGGACUAUUUAGCUGUGUGGUGACACACAUCUGUAAUCCUGGCUAUUUGGGAGGCUGAGGCAGGAAGAUCACUAGUUUGAGGCCAGUUUCAGCAACUUAGCAA
rnacentral:lncRNA from 1 species